rnacentral:misc_RNA from 1 species
GGCUGGCGGAGCAGCGUUCGCACAGACCACAGCUCCGGCCUCGCCUUCCCCUGCUCCGGCUGCGUCGGCAUCAAGCGAACAGAUGAACCUGAAGGACAACUGGCGGGCUUCCAAGCUUGUCGGCCUCGCGGUUNCAACGAAAAGCUCGGCGAUGUCAGUGAAAUCCUCCUCGACAAGAGCGGCAAGAUCAACGCCGUGAUUAUCGGCGUCGGCGGCUUCCUCGGUGUCGGCCAGCACGACAUCGCGGUGACGUUCGACAAGCUGAAAUGGGUCGAUGAGCCGAUCCGCUCGGCAUCGGCCGACAAGAUGCCGGGCUCUGCGGG